rnacentral:rRNA from 1 species
GACGAACGCUGGCGGCGUGCUUAACACAUGCAAGUCGAACGGAAAGGCUCUGCUUGCAGGGUACUCGAGUGGCGAACGGGGGAGUAACACGUGGGUGAUCUGCCCUGCACUUCGGGAUAAGCCUGGGAAACUGGGUCUAAUACCGGAUAGGAGCCAUUUUUAGUGUGAUGGUUGGAAAGUUUUUUCGGUGUAGGAUGAGCUCGCGGCCUAUCAGCUUGUUGGUGGGGUAAUGGCCUACCAAGGCGGCGACGGGUAGCCGGCCUGAGAGGGUGGACGGCCACAUUGGGACUGAGAGACGGCCCAGACUCCUACGGGAGGCAGCAGUGGGGAAUAUUGCACAAUGGGCGCAAGCCUGAUGCAGCGACGCCGCGUGGGGGAUGACGGCCUUCGGGUUGUAAACUCCUUUCGCUAGGGACGAAGCUUUUUGUGACGGUACCUAGAUAAGAAGCACCGGCUAACUACGUG